rnacentral:rRNA from 1 species
ACGGGAGGCAGCAGUGAGGAAUAUUGGUCAAUGGGCGGAAGCCUGAACCAGCCAAGUCGCGUGAAGGAUGAAGGUAUUAUGUAUUGUAAACUUCUUUAGACGCAGAGAAAUAAGAGGCUCGUGAGCCUUGAUGCUAGUAUGCGUAGAAUAAGGAUCGGCUAACUACGUGCCAGCAGCCGCGGUAAUACGUAGGGAGCAAGCGUUAUCCGGAUUUACUGGGUGUAAAGGGCGUGUAGGCGGGACAUCAAGUCAGAUGUGAAAGCACGAGGCUCAACUUCGUGUCUGCAUUUGAAACUGACGUUCUUGAGUGUUGGAGAGGCUAACGGAACUCCUAGUGUAGCGGUGAAAUGCGUAGAUAUUAGGAAGAACACCAGUGGCGAAGGCGGUUAGCUGGACAAUAACUGACGCUGAGGCGCGAAAGCGUGGGUAGCAAACAGGAUUAGAUACCCUGGUA